GAUGAACGCUGGCGGCGUGCUUAACACAUGCAAGUCGAACGGUGAAGCUCCAGCUUGCUGGAGUGGAUCAGUGGCGAACGGGUGAGUAACACGUGAGCAACCUGCCCCUGUCUCUGGGAUAACAGCCGGAAACGGCUGCUAAUACCGGAUAUGCACCAUGAACGCAUGUUCUGUGGUGGGAAAGAUUUUUCGGUUGGGGAUGGGCUCGCGGCCUAUCAGCUUGUUGGUGAGGUAAUGGCUCACCAAGGCGUCGACGGGUAGCCGGCCUGAGAGGGUGACCGGCCACACUGGGACUGAGACACGGCCCAGACUCCUACGGGAGGCAGCAGUGGGGAAUAUUGCACAAUGGGCGAAAGCCUGAUGCAGCAACGCCGCGUGAGGGAUGACGGCCUUCGGGUUGUAAACCUCUUUUAGCAGGGAAGAAGCGAGAGUGACGGUACCUGCAGAAAAAGCGCCGGCUAACUACGUG
rnacentral:rRNA from 1 species